rnacentral:rRNA from 1 species
GGACGAACGCUGGCGGCGUGCUUAACACAUGCAAGUCGAGCGGUAAGGCCCUUUCGGGGGUACACGAGCGGCGGAACAGGUGAGUAACACGUGGGUGACCUGCCCUUAGCUCUGGGAUAAGCCUGGGGAAACUGGGUCUAAUACCGGGAUAUGACUCCAUGACGCAUGUUGUGGGGUGGAAAGCCUUGUGCGGCUAGGGGAUGGGCCCGCGGCCUAUCAGCUUGUUGGUGGGGUGAUGGCCACCAAGGCGACGACGGGUAGCCGGCCUGAGAGGGCGACCGGCCACACUGGGGACUGAGACACGGCCCAGACUCCUACGGGAGGCAGCAGUGGGGAAUCUUGCGCAAUGGGCGAAAGCCUGACGCAGCGACGCCGCGUGAGGGAUGA